UAUAGAUGAACUAUCUGGAUAAGGAAA
rnacentral:piRNA from 1 species